rnacentral:rRNA from 1 species
UACGUAGGGGGCAAGCGUUGUCCGGAUUUAUUGGGCGUAAAGAGCGUGUAGGCGGUUUGGUAGGUCCGCUGUGAAAACUCGAGGCUCAACCUCGAGACGCCGGUGGAAACCAUCAGGCUAGAGUCCGGAAGAGGAGAGUGGAAUUCCUGGUGUAGCGGUGAAAUGCGUAGAUAUCAGGAGGAACACCUGUGGCGAAAGCGGCUCACUGGACCAUAACUGACGCUGAUGCACGAAAGCUAGGGGAGCAAACAGG